rnacentral:lncRNA from 1 species
GUGUGCCCAGGCCCACAGACACAUGCACCCACACAGACACAGAGGGAACGGGCUGGGAUGGGGACUGUGUGCACAGCAGGGCGGGUAGGACCCCCCACAGCCCCUUCCCAAACAGCCUCUUAACCCUUACACCCCUUUCCUCCUCUCUUACCCCAUGGUAGGAACAUAGCGUGUUUAUAUUUUAUGGCCAAACUAUUUUGAAUUUUGUUGUCUGGCCCUCAGUGCCCUGCCCUCUCCCUUUGCAGGACCACAGCUCCGGUCCUCUGGCUUUGGUCCUCCCUGUUCUCCACCCUGGUUUCUUAAGUAGUUGGUUCUUCUUAGUCUUCCUGACCCUCAACCCGUGGUCUCAGUCCUGCUCCUCCCCUCUGUGGCAGUUUCAUAUUUGCUAAUACGAAUUUGCUCAUUAAACAUUUUGUUGUAUUAAAAAAAAAAAAAAAAAA